CGGGGAGCCACAACAAUGGCUCUCACAGGAAAUCGAAUUCUCUGCAACAGCUCAUCAACAAAAAUACCGUUUACCCAAUUCCCUCUUCGUCGUCCCUUCUUACUUCCCUCUCAGGGGAGAAGAAGUCAAUUCACUGCAUUCGCUGCAAAGAAGUUCACGUCAGGGAAGAACAAGAGAAGUUCAAUUUCAACUAAAGAGCCAGUAAAAGAAGAAGAAGAAGAAUUCCAGACGAUCAAUAUUCGUAUUGAUAGUCAAGAUAGGGUUUCUGCAACCACAACAACUGGUGAUGCUUUUGUGAUGCCGAAGCUUCCUGGAGAGGAAACUGAUUUCUGGGAAGGACCUCAAUGGGAUGGAUUUGGAUUCUUUGUUCAGUAUAUGUGGGCUUUUGGCGUUCUCUUUUCGCUGAUUGCAUGUGGUAUUGCUGUGGCCACAUAUAACGAUGGAGCUACAGAUUUCAAGGCUACUCCUGUGUAUAAGGAAGCAAUGGAAUCACAAGAACUUCUUGAAGAACCAGAGGCUUCUAACUCAGAUGUGUUUGAGUCAAAUCCAACUGAAGAAGCACCUAGUUUGGAAUAGAUAAGUUUGCUAAGUGCACUUCUAAUGAAGAAUUCUGUCUUCAUAUUGUCAUAAUUACGGGUAAAACAGAAGUCCAGCUAAGAGUGCCCAACUUAGAUUCGAAGCAAGCUGAAAUGUAGACAUUUUUAUACUUUGUAUCCAUGUGGAAUUGUAGUGCAAAAUAUACUGAUAAAAGUAUGGAAGUUGAUCCUUUAUUUUCAACUACAAGUCACAAGAAUGUUCACAGAGUGAUUCUCUUGCAAUUCUUGUUCCAUGUUAUACAAUAUUGUGUUAGUUUUAAGACUCUUGUCGCAUGGAUGAGUGUAUAUUACUGCAGAAAAUACCAAAUUGUACAAGAGAAGACCCCGAACACUUUAAUUCCAGGUGUUUGUCAUGCUGAAAAGAUAUGAACUAUCAUAUAUUUCACAAAUGUUUGUAUUCUAUUAUAAUUGUUGCUUUUGAG
rnacentral:misc_RNA from 1 species